CUCUGUGACUCCUACGGGGAGGCAGCAGUGGGGAAUAUUGCACAAUGGGGGAAACCCUGAUGCAGCCAUGCCGCGUGUGUGAAGAAGGCCUUCGGGUUGUAAAGCACUUUCAGUAGGGAGGAAGGUAGUGUAGUUAACACCUGCACUAUUUGACGUUACCUACAGAAGAAGCACCGGCUAACUCCGUGCCAGCAGCCGCGGUAAUACGGAGGGUGCGAGCGUUAAUCGGAAUUACUGGGCGUAAAGCGCAUGCAGGCGGCCUGUUAAGUCAGAUGUGAAAGCCCGGGGCUUAACCUCGGAAUUGCAUUUGAAACUGGCAGGCUAGAGUCUUGUAGAGGGGGGUAGGAAUUUCAGGUGUAGCGGUGAAAUGCGUAGAGAUCUGAAGGAAUACCAGUGGCGAAGGCGGCCCCCUGGACAAAGACUGACGCUCAGAUGCGAAAGCGUGGGGAGCAAACAGGAUUAGAUACCCUGGUGG
rnacentral:rRNA from 1 species